UGAAACCGUUCAGGGGUAAACCUGAGAAACCCAAAAGAUCGAAUGGGGAGAUUCAUCGUCAACGGUGGCUGGCUCCCGUUGGUGCGCGAUGCUCCGGACGGUUCCGUUUACGCGGUUCCGUUAGCGAGGGCACGCCACCUUCGGCCUGAAUGUUCCGGUGCCGUAGUCGUGCACUUCUCCCCUAGUAGAACGUCGCGACCCGUUGUGUGUCGGUCUACGGCCCGAGAGGGCGCCUGUCGCGUCGCUUCGCGCGUACGCGGCAGACCCUCGGUCGCCCGGUCGGCUGCACGACGGUACUCGCACGGUAUCGGGCCGCAACCAAUCCAUUUUCGAAUGCGUUUGCGUCUGUCCCGCCGCAAGCUCGGUCAGUUCUUACCCGGAGGUACGGAGAUUAAGCCGUCCCCGGGCCUGGUCAGCUGUUCGCAGGCGGAUGUAAUCAGACUGGCCAAAUUUUAAAAUACCGGUCGGCGACGCUAUUGCUUUGGGUACUCUCAGGACCCGUCUUGAAACACGGACCAAGGAGUCUAACAUGUGCGCGAGUCAUUGGGACUUGAUUAAACCUAAAGGCGAAAUGAAAGUGAAAAUCGACCUUCGCGUCGAUCGAGGGAGGAUGGGCCGCGUUGCUAAUGCGGCCUCGCACUCCCGGGGCGUCUCGUUCUCAUUGCGAGAAGAGGCGCACCCAGAGCGUACACGUUGGGACCCGAAAGAUGGUGAACUAUGCCUGGUCAGGACGAAGUCAGGGGAAACCCUGAUGGAGGUCCGUAGCGAUUCUGACGUGCAAAUCGAUCGUCGGAACUGGGUAUAGGGGCGAAAGACUAAUCGAACCAUCUAGUAGCUGGUUCCCUCCGAAGUUUCCCUCAGGAUAGCUGGCACUCGGUCGUUCCUUAGUGAACAGACGCGAGUUUCAUCUGGUAAAGCGAAUGAUUAGAGGCCUUGGGGCCGAAACGACCUCAACCUAUUCUCAAACUUUAAAUGGGUGAGAUCUCUGGCUUGCUUGGAUCAUGAAGCCACGAGACUAUUUUUGAAUCAGAGUGCCAAGUGGGCCAAUUUUGGUAAGCAGAACUGGCGCUGUGGGAUGAACCAAACGCAGAGUUAAGGCGCCUAAGUCGACGCUUAUGGGAUACCAUGAAAGGCGUUGGUUGCUUAAGACAGCAGGACGGUGGCCAUGGAAGUC
rnacentral:rRNA from 1 species